rnacentral:rRNA from 1 species
GCAAGUCGAGCGGUAACAGGAAUUAGCUUGCUAAUUCGCUGACGAGCGGCGGACGGGUGAGUAAUGCCUGGGAAUAUGCCUUAGUGUGGGGGAUAACUAUUGGAAACGAUAGCUAAUACCGCAUAAUGUCCCGGUUUAUAAUGAAUUGGGACCAAAGAGGGGGACCUUAGGGCCUCUCGCGUCAAGAUUAGCCCAGGUGGGAUUAGCUAGUUGGUGGGGUAAUGGCUCACCAAGGCGACGAUCCCUAGCUGGUUUGAGAGGAUGAUC